GUGAGGAAUUUUCCGCAAUGGGCGAAAGCCUGACGGAGCAAUGCCGCGUGACGGAUGAAGGUCUAUGGGUUGUAAACUUCUUUUCUCAGAAAAGAAUUAUGACGGUAUCUGAGGAAUAAGCAUCGGCUAACUCUGUGCCAGCAGCCGCGGUAAGACAGAGGAUGCAAGCGUUAUCCGGAAUGAUUGGGCGUAAAGCGUCUGUAGGUUGUUUAAAAAGUAUUCUGUCAAAGAUUAGGGCUUAACCCUAGAUAGGCAGAAUAAACUUUUAAGCUAGAGUUUGGUAGAGGCAGAGGGAAUUCCCGGUGGAGCGGUGAAAUGCGUAGAUAUCGGGAGGAACACCAAAGGCGAAGGCACUCUGCUGGGCCAAUACUAACACUGAGAGACGAAAGCGAGGGGAGCAAAUGGGAUUAGAUACCCCAGUAGUCC
rnacentral:rRNA from 1 species